GCUACGGUGGUAUAGUGGUGAGCAUAGCUGCCUUCCAAGCAGUUGACCCGGGUUCCCGGCCAACGCA